rnacentral:rRNA from 1 species
UCCUACGGGGGGCAGCAGUGAGGAAUAUUGGUCAAUGGACGCAAGUCUGAACCAGCCAUGCCGCGUGCAGGAAGACGGCUCUAUGAGUUGUAAACUGCUUUUGUACGAGGGUAAACGCAGAUACGUGUAUCUGUCUGAAAGUAUCGUACGAAUAAGGAUCGGCUAACUCCGUGCCAGCAGCCACGGUAAUACGGAGGAUUCAAGCGUUAUCCGGAUUUAUUGGGUUUAAAGGGUGCGUAGGCGGGUUAUCAAGUCAGCGGUAAAAUCGUGGAGCUCAACUCCAUCCAGCCGUUGAAACUGAUGAU